rnacentral:rRNA from 1 species
ACGAACGCUGGCGGUGUGCCUCACACAUGCAAGUCGAACGGGGUAGCAAUACCCAGUGGCGGACGGGUGAGUAACACGUGGGAAUCUGCCUUUGGAUGGGGGAUAACGAGCCGAAAGGCUCGCUAAUACCGCAUAUGUGUGUAUUCCGACAGGAAUGUACAUGAAAGGAGCAAUCCGUCUGAAGAUGAGCCCGCGUCCGAUUAGCUAGUUGGUAGGGUAAAAGCCUACCAAGGCGACGAUCGGUAGCUGGUCCGAGAGGAUGAUCAGCCACAAUGGGACUGAGACACGGCCCAUACUCCUACGGGAGGCAGCAGUGGGGAAUUUUGUGCAAUGGGGGAAACCCUGACACAGCGACACCGCGUGAGCGAAGAAGCCCUUUGGGGUGUAAAGCUCUGUCGGCAGGAACGAAACAAAUGACGGUACCUGCAGAGGAAGCAUCGGCUAACUACGU